rnacentral:rRNA from 1 species
CCCGAAACCCGGUGAUCUAGCCAUGGGCAGGUUGAAGGUUGGGUAACACUAACUGGAGGACCGAACCGACUAAUGUUGAAAAAUUAGCGGAUGACCUGUGGCUGGGGGUGAAAGGCCAAUCAAACCGGGAGAUAGCUGGUUCUCCCCGAAAGCUAUUUAGGUAGCGCCUCGUGAAUUCAUCUCCGGGGGUAGAGCACUGUUUCGGCUAGGGGGCCAUCCCGGCUUACCAACCCGAUGCAAACUGCGAAUACCGGAGAAUGUUAUCACGGGAGACACACGGCGGGUGCUAACGUCCGUCGUGAAGAGGGAAACAACCCAGACCGCCAGCUAAGGUCCCAAAGUCAUGGUUAAGUGGGAAACGAUGUGGGAAGGCCCAGACAGCCAGGAUGUUGGCUUAGAAGCAGCCAUCAUUUAAAGAAAGCGUAAUAGCUCACUGGUCGAGUCGGCCUGCGCGGAAGAUGUAACGGGGCUAAACCAUGCACCGAAGCUGCGGCAGCGACGCUGAUGCGUUGUUGGGUAGGGGAGCGUUCUGUAAGCCUGCGAAGGUGGCCUGUGAGGGUUGCUGGAGGUAUCAGAAGUGCGAAUGCUGACAUAAGUAACGAUAAAGCGGGUGAAAAGCCCGCUCGCCGGAAGACCAAGGGUUCCUGUCCAACGUUAAUCGGGGCAGGGUGAGUCGACCCCUAAGGCGAGGCCGAAAGGCGUAGUCGAUGGGAAACGGGUUAAUAUUCCCGUACUUGGUGUUACUGCGAAGGGGGGACGGAGAAGGCUAUGUUGGCCGGGCGACGGUUGUCCCGGUUUAAGCGUGUAGGUGUGUGUUCCAGGUAAAUCCGGUUCACUUUAACACUGAGGCGUGAUGACGAGGCACUACGGUGCUGAAGCAACAAAUGCCCUGCUUCCAGGAAAAGCCUCUAAGCAUCAGGUAACAUCAAAUCGUACCCCAAACCGACACAGGUGGUCAGGUAGAGAAUACCAAGGCGCUUGAGAGAACUCGGGUGAAGGAACUAGGCAAAAUGGUGCCGUAACUUCGGGAGAAGGCACGCUGACACGUAGGUGAAGUGAUUUACUCAUGGAGCUGAAGUCAGUCGAAGAUACCAGCUGGCUGCAACUGUUUAUUAAAAACACAGCACUGUGCAAACACGAAAGUGGACGUAUACGGUGUGACGCCUGCCCGGUGCCGGAAGGUUAAUUGAUGGGGUCAGCGCAAGCGAAGCUCCUGAUCGAAGCCCCGGUAAACGGCGGCCGUAACUAUAACGGUCCUAAGGUAGCGAAAUUCCUUGUCGGGUAAGUUCCGACCUGCACGAAUGGCGUAAUGAUGGCCAGGCUGUCUCCACCCGAGACUCAGUGAAAUUGAACUCGCUGUGAAGAUGCAGUGUACCCGCGGCAAGACGGAAAGACCCCGUGAACCUUUACUAUAGCUUGACACUGAACAUUGAGCCUUGAUGUGUAGGAUAGGUGGGAGGCUUUGAAGUGUGGACGCCAGUCUGCAUGGAGCCGACCUUGAAAUACCACCCUUUAAUGUUUGAUGUUCUAACGUGGACCCGUGAUCCGGGUUGCGGACAGUGUCUGGUGGGUAGUUUGACUGGGGCGGUCUCCUCCUAAAGAGUAACGGAGGAGCACGAAGGUUGGCUAAUCCUGGUCGGACAUCAGGAGGUUAGUGCAAUGGCAUAAGCCAGCUUGACUGCGAGCGUGACGGCGCGAGCAGGUGCGAAAGCAGGUCAUAGUGAUCCGGUGGUUCUGAAUGGAAGGGCCAUCGCUCAACGGAUAAAAGGUACUCCGGGGAUAACAGGCUGAUACCGCCCAAGAGUUCAUAUCGACGGCGGUGUUUGGCACCUCGAUGUCGGCUCAUCACAUCCUGGGGCUGAAGUAGGUCCCAAGGGUAUGGCUGUUCGCCAUUUAAAGUGGUACGCGAGCUGGGUUUAGAACGUCGUGAGACAGUUCGGUCCCUAUCUGCCGUGGGCGCUGGAGAACUGAGGGGGGCUGCUCCUAGUACGAGAGGACCGGAGUGGACGCAUCACUGGUGUUCGGGUUGUCAUGCCAAUGGCACUGCCCGGUAGCUAAAUGCGGAAGAGAUAAGUGCUGAAAGCAUCUAAGCACGAAACUUGCCCCGAG